CCAAAUCAACCCUGGCGACCCAUGGGUAGCAGAUUUCGUGGCCAGAUCACCUUCACAUCCACAGAGGGACAAAUCUUGACUCUUGGAGACCUCAGAAGGAAUUGAUGCAUUCUCAAAUGCUGGCUGAACCUGGGUUGGUCUAUUCAGUUGACAGGAUCCUAUGACUCUUUCCACAUCGUAUUAGAGCACUCCCUGUGAAGUAAGGACAAGAAUCAUGCUAACAGGGGAGAAAAACUGCCAUGUGGAAAUCCUGCACUCAACAUGUGAGGGGAGGUGAAAGCCAAGAAAUAGAAAGAUGUCCUUUCUGUAUGUGGCGAUGCUAAGGAAAUGCUGUCUCUACAUUGUUUAUCCGGAUCCACAGAAAAUGACUUUUGCGGUCACACUUCAUUUUGUAGCAUUUUUUGCAAAUCAUUUGGAUUAAGG
rnacentral:lncRNA from 1 species